rnacentral:rRNA from 1 species
UGAAUACAUAGGUUAACGAGGCGAACCGGGGGAACUGAAACAUCUAAGUACCCCGAGGAAAAGAAAUCAACCGAGAUUCCCCCAGUAGCGGCGAGCGAACGGGGGGCAGCCCAGAGUCUGAAUCAGCUUGUGUGUUAGUGGAACGGUCUGGAAAGUCCGACGGUACAGGGUGAUAGUCCCGUACACCAAAAUGCACAGGUUGUGAACUCGAAGAGUAGGGCGGGACACGUGGUAUCCUGUCUGAAUAUGGGGGGACCAUCCUCCAAGGCUAAAUACUCCUGACUGACCGAUAGUGAACCAGUACCGUGAGGGAAAGGCGAAAAGAACCCCGGCGAGGGGAGUGAAAAAGAACCUGAAACCGUGUACGUACAAGCAGUGGGAGCACCUUCGGGUGUGACUGCGUACCUUUUGUAUAAUGGGUCAGCGACUUAUAUUCUGUAGCAAGGUUAACCGUAUAGGGGAGCCGCAGGGAA